UACGUAGGGACCAAGCGUUGUCCGGAAUCAUUGGGCGUAAAGAGCGUGUAGGCGGCUUGUUAAGUCUUGCGUGAAAUCUCGGGGCUCAACCCCGAGCGGUCGUGAGAAACUGGCGGGCUAGAGUGCGGGAGAGGAGAGUGGAAUUCCUGGUGUAGCGGUGAAAUGCGCAGAUAUCAGGAAGAACACCCGUGGCGAAGGCGGCUCUCUGGAACGCAACUGACGCUGAGACGCGAAAGCGUGGGGAGCAAACGGG
rnacentral:rRNA from 1 species